rnacentral:rRNA from 1 species
GCGAGUGAACGGGGAAGAGCCCAACACCGAAUCCCUUGGCGCAAGUCAACGGGAAAUGUGGUGUUAAGGUAGCCCUUCGUGUCAGUCUAGGCGUCUCAAGUCCACCUGAUUGUGGCUCAAGCCCAGAGAGGGUGUAAGGCCCGUAGAGACGCUCCGACUGAUUCCUGGGGUUUACCUACGAGUCGGCUUGUUUGGGAAUGCAGGCCAAAGCGGGUGGUAAACUCCAUCCAAGGCUAAAUACUGGCACGAGUCCGAUAGCGGACAAGUACCGUGAGGGAAAGUUGAAAAGAACUUUGAAGAGAGAGUUCAAUAGUACGUGAAACCGCUUAGAGGCAAACGGAUGGUGCUCAUACUGGCCUGAGGAAUUCAACUGUGACGGUGGCUGGACGAGCUGGCGUUCCGAUCUCUCUUUUGGGACGGGCGUCGGUUUGGCUAUCAGCUCCGACAUGGUGCACUUUCCUUGGUGCCUCCGCCACGACCGACGACACUGGCUACCCGCGGCUGGGGUAAGGUGACAAACUGCUUCGGCAAUUUGUGUUAUAGACCCCGGCGUCGGACAUGGUUUGGCCAGGACGUCGAGCUUGCGGCGCCCGCUCCUUGUGGGCUCGCAUGUUGGCUAGCUUGGCUGCGCCGAUGCUUGCACUGGACAACCAGUACAGGUGACGGUUGUGGUCUUGUCUCUAGUUGGCCUCUGCGAGUUUGGCGCCUAUAGUCUGUGGUGUACUUGUGGGUAGACUAUCCGACCCGUCUUGAAACACGGACCAAGGAGUCUAACAUGUGCGCGAGUCAUGGGGAUUCUACGAAACCCAAAGGCGCAGUGAAAGUAAAGGCCUGCUUCUCGUAGGCUGAGGUGGGAUCUCGUGCAUUGCGAUUGGCGAGCGCACCACCGGCCCGUCCUAUCUGUCUCUGUCAGUGGGGCGGCGCAAGAGCGUACACGUUGGGACCCGAAAGAUGGUGAACUAUGCUUGCGCAGCUCGAAGUCAGUGGAAACACUGAUGGAGGAGCGCAGCGUUUCUGACGUGCAAAUCGAU